rnacentral:rRNA from 1 species
UACGUAGGGGGCAAGCGUUGUCCGGAUUUAUUGGGCGUAAAGAGCGUGUAGGCGGCCAAGCAGGUCCGCUGUGAAAACUCGAGGCUCAACCUCGAGACGUCGGUGGAAACCGUUUGGCUAGAGUCCGGAAGAGGAGAGUGGAAUUUCCGGUGUAGCGGUGAAAUGCGCAGAUAUCGGGAAGAACACCCGUGGCGAAGGCGGCUCUCUGGGACGGUACUGACGCUGAGACGCGAAAGCGUGGGGAGCGAACAGG